rnacentral:rRNA from 1 species
AUAACGGCGUCGAGCGGCGGACGGGUGAGUAAUGCCUAGGAAAUUGCCCUGAUGUGGGGGAUAACCAUUGGAAACGAUGGCUAAUACCGCAUAAUGCCUACGGGCCAAAGAGGGGGACCUUCGGGCCUCUCGCGUCAGGAUAUGCCUAGGUGGGAUUAGCUAGUUGGUGAGGUAAGGGCUCACCAAGGCGACGAUCCCUAGCUGGUCUGAGAGGAUGAUCAGCCACACUGGAACUGAGACACGGUCCAGACUCCUACGGGAGGCAGCAGUGGGGAAUAUUGCACAAUGGGCGCAAGCCUGAUGCAGCCAUGCCGCGUGUGUGAAGAAGGCCUUCGGGUUGUAAAGCACUUUCAGUCGUGAG